CUGCCAUGUCACAAAAGGGGAGGGGUUAACCUUGGCAAACAUGUCCAGACAAGUCCUUGGUACAAGAUUAGCAUAAGCAGACAUGGCAGGGCAAGACUCAGGUAUAAGAUUAGCAUAGACAAAUAUGUCUUAAGUACCCACCACCCAAAAGUACAAUAGAACUUCCUUUGCAUGUCUGGAGCCUGAGGCAAGUCAGGUGAUGAGAUUUGGCUUCCUUUGGCUAAUAGUGAGCCCAGCAAUUUUCACCUCUGGAACUUCCUGGAGUCCUUUUUCAAGAGGAAAAUAGCUUUGGAAUGGAGGAAACUAGCAAAGGAGUUGAUUUUAUCUUAUUUUUAAAGACGUGGGUGGCGCUGUGGGUUAAACCACAGAACCUAGGACUUGCCGAUCAGAAGGUUGGCGGUUCGAAUCCCCGCGAUGGGGUGAGCUCCUGUUGCUCGGUCCCUGCUCCUGCCAAGCUAGCAGUUCGAAAGCACGUCAAAGUGCAAGUAGAUAAAUAGGUACCACUCCGGCAGGAAGGUAAACGGCGUUUCCGUGCGCUGCUCUGGUUCGCCAGAAGCGGCUUUGUCAUGCUGGCCACAUGACCCAGAAGCUGUACGCCGGCUCCCUUGGCCAAUAAAGCGAGAUGAGCGCUGCAACCCCAGAGUUGGCCACGACUGGACCUAAUGGUCAGGGGUCCCUUUACCUUUUAACUUCCCUGAGCUGUCAAGUUGAAAGGAUACAUUCAGGCAUAAUAUUUUUAACAUUUAACUUUAAAGAUGUGCCCCCCCCCCGUAAUUUCUGUAACAACCCAGAGAUGCAUUUUAAAUAAAAGGACACAUUCUACUCAUGUAAAAACACGCUGAUUCCCGGACCAUCCAUAGGCUGGAUUUAGCAGGCGAUUGGGCCGCAUCCGGCCCCCAAGCCUUAGUUUGCCUACCCAGGAUUUAUAACUUGCAACUGACCUGGAAGCUGCAGUCAGAGCAGAAUGCUGCAACACGAUUGCUGACAGGAGUGAGGCCUUGUCUGGCUAUAUGGCACCCGGGUUCAAAGAUCUGCACUGGUUGCUGAUCUGCUAAAGGGCCGAGGUCAAGGUGUUGCUCUUAGUAAAUAAAGGCGUUAACAAUGUUAAUGGAGAAAUCUGAGAGCUCCCUUGGACAAAAAAAACAAGGACACCAGCCAGGAAUACCAGAGCAAAACAGCAGCCAGUAGGCUUGGUCUAUAUUUUUUCUUUAUUUUUUUUCACAUUUAUGACUUCAGUUUUAUAUAAACUGACAGUUACCUGGGAAGGAGGGCUGGUGAAGAAAUCCACGUUUCAGUCUCCACUUGAGCUAAACAACUGAACGGUAAGGUCACAGCAUUUUAGAAAACCUCACUAUUAUAAAAGAGGAGCAGGGAUGUUGGGGAUGAGUUGCUGCCAGGAACAUGGACCACAGCUUUGUUUUUAAAAUAAUCUGUUGCUUCAAUGCCUUAAAAACAACAAAGAAUCUUCUGAUUGCAGAACAGUGUUUUCCUGCAAC